rnacentral:lncRNA from 1 species
UAACACUCACCCCCUUCUCUGUUUCUUUCACUCACUCUCUCACACUCAUAUUAAACACAUAACAGGCCACAGCGGGUCUCUCCCUCCGUUAUCUUCGGGGUUAACAAAAAAAGAGAAAAACACACACAAAAAAACUGUAAAAAAGCUAAGGGCAUGGCCGAGCUCUGAUCCUUUAUUUUGCCCCUUUUUUUCUAAAAAAAAAAAUUGCUUUCUUUUUAAAACACGUCUUGGAUUUUGAGGGAUUUCUCUAAAAUUUCGCUGGUCUCCUCAUAUUUACAAGAACUGAGAAGAAAAAGAAACAUCAACCAGGCCUAUAAAUAAAUAAAUAAAUGAAUGAAUAAGA